CCUACGGGAGGCAGCAGUGGGGAAUCUUAGACAAUGGGCGCAAGCCUGAUCUAGCGAUGCCGCGUGAGUGAUGAAGGCCUUAGGGUCGUAAAGCUCUUUCGCCUGUGAAGAUAAUGACGGUAGCAGGUAAAGAAACCCCGGCUAACUCCGUGCCAGCAGCCGCGGUAAUACGGAGGGGGUUAGCGUUGUUCGGAAUUACUGGGCGUAAAGCGCACGUAGGCGGACUAGUCAGUCAGAGGUGAAAUCCCAGGGCUCAACCCUGGAACUGCCUUUGAUACUGCUAGUCUUGAGUUCGAGAGAGGUAAGUGGAAUUCCGAGUGUAGAGGUGAAAUUCGUAGAUAUUCGGAGGAACACCAGUGGCGAAGGCGGCUUACUGGCUCGAUACUGACGCUGAGGUGCGAAAGUGUGGGGAGCAAACAGGAUUAGAUACCCUGGUAGUCCACACCGUAAACGAUGAAUGCCAGACGUCGGGUAGCAUGCUAUUCGGUGUCACACCUAACGGAUUAAGCA
rnacentral:rRNA from 1 species